UACAGAGGUCUCAAGCGUUGUUCGGAUUCAUUGGGCGUAAAGGGUGCGUAGGUGGCGCGCUAAGUCAGGUGUGAAAUUUCGGAGUUUAACUCCGAAACUGCAUUUGAUACUGGCGUGCUUGAGGACUGGAGAGGAGACUGGAAUUCACGGUGUAGCAGUGAAAUGCGUAGAGAUCGUGAGGAAGACCAGUGGCGAAGGCGGGUCUCUGGACAGUUCCUGACACUGAGGCAGCGAAGGCCAGGGGAGCAAACGGG
rnacentral:rRNA from 1 species